rnacentral:rRNA from 1 species
UACGUAGGGACCAAGCGUUGUCCGGAUUUAUUGGGCGUAAAGAGCUCGUAGGCGGCCCUCCACGUCGGAUGUGAAUGCUCAGGGCUCAAUCCUGAGAUGCCAUUCGAUACGGGAAGGCUAGAGGUAGGUAGGGGAAAGUGGAAUUCCUGGUGUAGCGGUGAAAUGCGCAGAUAUCAGGAGGAACACCGGUGGCGAAGGCGGCUUUCUGGGCCUUACCUGACGCUGAGGAGCGAAAGCUGGGGGAGCGAACAGG